rnacentral:lncRNA from 1 species
GUGUUACCAGAUCGCUUAGCGCAAGCUCGACUCAGCCACUCCUUUUUUCAUCAAAAUGCUGCAGGCCUUACGUUUGUUAUUAAAACAAAAAGGGGGAAUAGGGGCUGCUACACCAGAGGAGCGCUUACAGAAAGCCUUGUAUGUUUUUAAUUUUUUGAAUUGUUCCCUGUUAGACAGCAAUCCUCCAGUAGUUCGUCAUUUUAGCACAAACACCCUUUUUGAACCAAAGAUUAAGCCGCCAGUAUUGAUCCGGGACCCCGAAACAGGUAAAGUGAUGGGACCCUAUCCCCUUGUUACAUGGGGUAGAGGCUAUGCUUGUGUUUCCACAGAGAGAGGUCCUCGCUGGAUCCCGGCAAAGAACGUGAGACCCUUCCGAGAAACAUUGCAACGGCAGUCUCCUGAUAACGCUCCAGAACCUGCGUUCGAUGAGGAGAACGUUGCUCCCGAAUGAAUUCCGUCUCAGAAACAGUACCACAGACCUGGGAAGUAAACCCCGAUAAGUGGGAGGAAACAAAAAGGAGGUGUCGGAAAAAGAGAAACAGAAGGAAGACUAAGAGCCUGCAGGAAUGGGCCAAGAACUGACACUUUGGGGCUCCUUCCCUCCACAGGGGGAAUGGGAGAACAUCUCAAAUCGCGAAAAUUGCUCUAAUAUGAGUCCGGAGAUUCUUCCUGUUAACGGGACUGGAGUGGUCUAUUUUGGUGAUAGCUGGACUGGGUAUUUGAUUCGAGAUGGUCACAAAGAGACAUUAGAUUCACUGAUUCAUUAUCAAAACGUGUCAGGUAACUCUGGUCACUGGAACAUUUCGAUAAAUACA